rnacentral:rRNA from 1 species
CCCUUAGAUGUUCUGGGCUGCACGCGCGCUACACUGAUGCGCUCAACGAGUUUAUGAACUUGCCCGGAAGGGUUGGUUAAUCUUUUUAAAACGCAUCGUGAUGGGGAUAGAUUAUUGCAAUUAUUAAUCUUCAACGAGGAAUUCCUAGUAAGCGCGAGUCAUCAGCUCGUGCUGAUUACGUCCCUGCCCUUUGUACACACCGCCCGUCGCUACUACUGAUUGGAUGUUUAAGCGAGGUUCUCGAACUGCUAGCGACUUAGCUUCGGUGAGGUCGCAGUGUGGGAAGUGAACCUAGCUUUGGUGUCUAGAGGAAGUAAAAGUCGUAACA